rnacentral:rRNA from 1 species
UACGGGGGGGGCAAGCGUUGUUCGGAAUUACUGGGCGUAAAGGGCGCGUAGGCGGUUUGCUAAGUUGGACGUGAAAACUCUGGGCUUAACCCAGAGCCUGCAUCCAAAACUGGCAAGCUAGAGUUUUGGAGGGGGAAGCGGAAUUCCUGGUGUAGCAGUGAAAUGCGUAGAUAUCAGGAGGAACACCUGAGGUGAAGACGGGUUGCUGGGCUGAUACUGACGCUGAGGCUCGAAAGCUAGGGGAGCAAACGGG